rnacentral:rRNA from 1 species
CUGGGAGAGGGUAGAGGUACUCCCGGGGGAGGGGUAAAAUCCUAUAAUCCUGGGGGGACCAUCUGUGGCGAAGGCUUCUACCUAGAACAGGUUCGACGGUGAGGGACGAAACCUAGGGGAGCGAUCGGGAUUAGAUACCCCGGUAGUCCUAAGCGUAAACUAUGCCCGCUUGGUGUUACAAACCUUUCGAGGGUUUGUAGUGCCGGAGCGUAGGUGUUAAGCGGGCCACCUGGGGAGUACGGCCGCAAGGCUAAAACUUAAGGGAAUUGGCGGGAGAGCACACAAGGGGUGUGAGCUGCGGUUUAAUUGGAUUCAACGCCGGGAAUCUCACGAGGGUUGACAGCAGAAUGAAGGUCAGCCUAACGGGUUUACCAGACAAGCUGAGAGGUGUUGCAUGGCCAUCGUCAGCUCGUACCUUGAGGCGUGCGGUUAAGUCCGUUAACGAGCGAGACCCACGCUAUCAUUUGCGAUCGUGUUCUAGGUCCAAAAGACCAAAA